rnacentral:rRNA from 1 species
UUGAACGCUGGCGGCAUGCCUUACACAUGCAAGUCGAACGGUAGAGGGGCAACCCUUGAGAGUGGCGAACGGGUGAGUAAUAUAUCGGAACGUGCCCAGUCGUGGGGGAUAACGCAGCGAAAGCUGCGCUAAUACCGCAUACGAUCUAUGGAUGAAAGCGGGGGAUCGCAAGACCUCGCGCGAUUGGAGCGGCCGAUAUCAGAUUAGGUAGUUGGUGGGGUAAAGCCCA